CAUAGGUUAAUGAGGCGAACCGGGGGAACUGAAACAUCUAAGUACCCCGAGGAAAAGAAAUCAACCGAGAUUCCCCCAGUAGCGGCGAGCGAACGGGGAGCAGCCCAGAGCCUGAAUCAGUGUGUGUGUUAGUGGAAGCGUCUGGAAAGGCGCGCGAUACAGGGUGACAGCCCCGUACACAAAAAUGCACAUACUGUGAGCUCGAUGAGUAGGGCGGGACACGUGGUAUCCUGUCUGAAUAUGGGGGGACCAUCCUCCAAGGCUAAAUACUCCUGACUGACCGAUAGUGAACCAGUACCGUGAGGGAAAGGCGAAAAGAACCCCGGCGAGGGGAGUGAAAAAGAACCUGAAACCGUGUACGUACAAGCAGUGGGAGCACGCUUAGGCGUGUGACUGCGUACCUUUUGUAUAAUGGGUCAGCGACUUAUAUUCUGUAGCAAGGUUAACCGAAUAGGGGAGCCGAAGGGAAACCGAGUCUUAACUGGGCGUUAAGUUGCAGGGUAUAGACCCGAAACCCGGUGAUCUAGCCAUGGGCAGGUUGAAGGUUGGGUAACACUAACUGGAGGACCGAACCGACUAAUGUUGAAAAAUUAGCGGAUGACUUGUGGCUGGGGGUGAAAGGCCAAUCAAACCGGGAGAUAGCUGGUUCUCCCCGAAAGCUAUUUAGGUAGCGCCUCGUGAAUUCAUCUCCGGGGGUAGAGCACUGUUUCGGCAAGGGGGUCAUCCCGACUUACCAACCCGAUGCAAACUGCGAAUACCGGAGAAUGUUAUCACGGGAGACACACGGCGGGUGCUAACGUCCGUCGUGAAGAGGGAAACAACCCAGACCGCCAGCUAAGGUCCCAAAGUCAUGGUUAAGUGGGAAACGAUGUGGGAAGGCCCAGACAGCCAGGAUGUUGGCUUAGAAGCAGCCAUCAUUUAAAGAAAGCGUAAUAGCUCACUGGUCGAGUCGGCCUGCGCGGAAGAUGUAACGGGGCUAAACCAUGCACCGAAGCUGCGGCAGCGACGCUGAUGCGUUGUUGGGUAGGGGAGCGUUCUGUAAGCCUGUGAAGGUGUGCUGUGAGGCAUGCUGGAGGUAUCAGAAGUGCGAAUGCUGACAUAAGUAACGAUAAAGCGGGUGAAAAGCCCGCUCGCCGGAAGACCAAGGGUU
rnacentral:rRNA from 1 species